UACGUAGGGUGCGAGCGUUGUCCGGAAUUAUUGGGCGUAAAGGGCUCGUAGGCGGUUUGUCGCGUCGGGAGUGAAAACACCGGGCUUAACUCGGUGCUUGCUUCCGAUACGGGCAGACUAGAGGCAUGCAGGGGAGAACGGAAUUCCUGGUGUAGCGGUGAAAUGCGCAGAUAUCAGGAGGAACACCGGUGGCGAAGGCGGUUCUCUGGGACGGUACUGACGCUGGAGACGCGAAAGCGUGGGGAGCGAACAGG
rnacentral:rRNA from 1 species